UACGUAGGGGGCUAGCGUUGUCCGGAUUUAUUGGGCGUAAAGAGCGUGUAGGCGGCCAGGUAGGUCUGCUGUGAAAACUCGAGGCUCAACCUCGAGACGUCGGCGGAAACCAUCUGGCUAGAGUCCGGAAGAGGAGAGUGGAAUUCCUGGUGUAGCGGUGAAAUGCGCGGAUAUCAGGAAGAACACCCGUGGCGAAGGCGGCUCUCUGGGACGGUACUGACGCUGAGACGCGAAAGCGUGGGGAGCGAACAGG
rnacentral:rRNA from 1 species